GCCUGCUUAUUGUGCAGAGACUGCUUGCUUGUUACAUCCUCAGUAUCCAUCCUCUAUUCUUUGUUCUAGCAGAAACCCCCUGUCCUGUAUUUUUUUGGGGUGACUACAUUUCUUAACCUUCAACGCAGAUAGCAGUGGCCCAGUGAAACACAAAUGGAAAUUAUUGAGUGGACCUUCUAGUAAACGCUUUAAUGGUGAUGACUCGGUUGGGAGAUGUGCCCUAGCUCUUUUCCUCUUAAUAUUGCUCAGAACAUGGAUAUGAUGGCUGGAGCUGUAGCAUCCAUUUUGUGGCCAUGAGACAACCUUGAGGAUGGAAGCCAAAGAUGAGACAGCAGAAAGUUAGAAGGCCCUCCAGUCCCUGAUAACUGUGGAGCUGCCCUACCAGCUGUGAACUGCCUACCACUGUACACUUACAUCAGAGAAAAAUAUACUUCUCUUUUGUGGUCCGGAUGCUCAAUCGCCUCUUCUGUGAAAUGCUUGUACUCAGUACCUGCCUUGCUGGGCUGUGGCUAGGACCAAGUGAGAUACUGCACCCGAAGCACAGAGAACAGUGCCUGGGACCUAGAGAGGACCCAGAAAUGGUCGGCUCUCACUACCCCAGAGUAGGACGAGUCUGUCAGACAUCACACUUGCUGCUGCUGAGGGGCACCGUGCUCCAGGUUUUGAUCAAUCCAUGGUUGAAGCAGGUUGCAGAGGAGCGGGCAGCCCCCCAUCUCCCUUCAGCGUGCAGCUGGAAGGAACCGCAGACUUGCUGAGCACAAAGAGCAGGUGCACACCCGUUGUGUGCCCACUGGCACCAUCCAAGAAGAAUUUCCAUUUUCUGACCCCACUUUGGAAAUGACAAGUCUGUCGAUAACUGUAAAGGUCUGAACAAUUUCUGUGCCAAACAGAACUUCAGCUGGAAGAAAACCAUCGAUCUUCCAGCUCAGCAGCACCUGCGACGCCUGGCACCACACCUGGCCCGGCUGCUCUGGGGAUGAUGAGCGUCGCGUGCCCUCCUGCACAACAGCCUGUCCACCGUCAGAGACCGCCAGCCCGAGACGGGCGUCUCGCCGCUCCUGUGCCAGCCGCUGAGUUCCGGGGAGCCCGGGGCCGGAGUCACUGCCUCUUCACGGGGUUGGUCAAGAGACAGAAGCAGAAAAUGGUUCUUUUGCAUUGCACAGAAGCUGGCUGGCUCUCAACACAAAUGCUUUUAAGACCAACGCUUGACUGGGCUUUGGGUGGACGUGUCUCAUUUCUUUGCUCGCUCUCAGAGCAAUCUGACAGGGAGCUCAGCCAGGACUUGGUGGUACUUUGGGACUGUCUGAAUGAGGGGGAAAUCAAGGCCCUAUGGUCACCAUUAUGGAUUUUGUGAAAAAUGUGGGAACUCUUUGGUCAAACUGCCAGGCUGUGAGAGGAGAUCGGAGACUAACUCCGUGGAAAUUUGCAAUUCUAGCAGAAGACAGUUGCAGUGGAGUGGAGACAGAAAUCUGCAGAUAUGCAAUUAAAAUUUACUGUCCCUGUUAAAACAGGUUUAUAAGCUCUUUCUCACUGAUACAGCACCUGAGUAGCAGGAGGUGGUGUUGCCACCCAGACGUAGACCCCAGCUCUUAGUGCCCACGCCCCGCUUCCUCAAGCUUACCUGCUCCUGCUCACACCCGUGACCAUCAGAGGGUGCCCGUGGGCACUGGGGCCCUUGCUCAUACAGAGGGCCAGAAGUGCCGGGGGGUUUAUCUCACUCCCCCACCCUGGGCGGCCAGUUGCUGGUGGGGUUAGGAGUCUGUUAUGGACCGAAUGUUUGUGGCCCCCCCAUUCAUAUACUAGAGCCCUAACCCCCAAUGUGGCUGUAUUUGGAGAUGGGGUCUUUACGAGGUAAUUAAGGUUAAAUGAGAUAUUAAAGGUGGGCUCUGGUCAGAUAGAGUUAGUGUCCUUAUAAGAAGAGGAAGAGACGUGGAAAGCCUGCUGUCUCUCUCUCCGCUCACGCACCAAGGAAAGGCCGUGUGAGCAGAGUGAGGAGGUGGCCGUCUACAACUCAAGGGAGGAGCCCCGACUAGACAUCCACCCUGCUGGCACCUCCAGCUUGGACUUCCCGGCCGCCGGAACUGUGAGAAAAGACAUGUCUGUAAUGUAAGCUGCCCAGUCUCUAUACUUUGUUACAGCAGCCCUAGCAGAUGGAGAGGGAAUCCAGAAGCCCAGGCUCCUUUGCUGGGGUCAAAUUGAUGCCCCAGGACUGCCUGCUGGUCAGGCUGAGCUCAGGACUUCACCUGGCAUCCAUCCUUGCGUGGCUUCUUCCCUUCCCUGUCCUGCUCCCCCACUCCCUCAGUGGUUCUCCUGGCGGUGCCCCUUAAUAAACCAUGUGCACCUGAA